GGUAAAAAAGCUCGUAGUUGGAUUUCUGUUGAGAAUGGCCGGUCCAUACCACGUAUGCGCAUCUGGUUUUUCAUUCUCGGCAUCCUCUCGAAAUACGUCUCUGUGCUUGAUUGCAUGGAACGGAGUUCGGGACUUUUACUUUGAGGAAAUUAGAGUGUUCACGGCAGGCUAUCGCCCGAAUACGUUAGCAUGGAAUAAUGAUAUAGGAUCUCGAUUCUAUUUUGUUGGUUUCUAGAAUUGGGAUAAUGAUUAAUAGGGACAAUUGGGGGCAUUCGUAUUAAUGCGUCAGAGGUGGAAUUCUUGGAUUGCAUUACGACGAACUACUGCGAAAGCAUUUGCCAAAGAUGUUUUCAUUGAUCAAGAACGAAAGUAAGGGGAUCGAAGAUGAUUAGAUACCGUCGUAGUCUUUACCACAAACUAUGCCGACUAGAGAUGGGACAUCGUUCAUUUACGACUUGUUCCGCACCUUAUGAGAUAUCAAAGUUUUUGGGUUCCGGGGGGAGUAUGAUCGCAAGAUUGGAACUUAAAGGAAUUGACGGAAGGGCACCACCAGGAGUGGAGCCUGCGGCUUAAUUUGACUCAACACGGGGAAACUCACCAGGUCCAGACAUAAUAAGGAUUGACAGAUUGAUAGCUCUUUCUUGAUUUUAUGGGUGGUGGUGCAUGGCCGUUCUUAGUUCGUGGAGUGAUUUGUCUGGUUAAUUCCGUU
rnacentral:rRNA from 1 species